rnacentral:rRNA from 1 species
GACGAACGCUGGCGGCGUGCUUAACACAUGCAAGUCGAACGAUGCCUUCGGGCAUAGUGGCGCACGGGUGCGUAACGCGUGGGAAUCUGCCCUUGGCUUCGGAAUAACAGUUAGAAAUGACUGCUAAUACCGGAUGAUGUCUUCGGACCAAAGAUUUAUCGGCCAGGGAUGAGCCCGCGUAGGAUUAGGUAGUUGGUGGGGUAAAGGCCUACCAAGCCGACGAUCCUUAGCUGGUCUGAGAGGAUGAUCAGCCACACUGGGACUGAGACACGGCCCAGACUCCUACGGGAGGCAGCAGUGGGGAAUAUUGGACAAUGGGGGGAACCCUGAUCCAGCAAUGCCGCGUGAGUGAUGAAGGCCUUAGGGUUGUAAAGCUCUUUUACCAGGGAUGAUAAUGACAGUACCUGGAGAAUAAGCUCCGGCUAACUCCGUGCCAGCCGCCGCGGUAA